rnacentral:rRNA from 1 species
GAUGAACGCUGGCGGUUUGCCUAAUACAUGCAAGUCGAGCGAACGGACGAGAAGCUUGCUUCUCUGAUGUUAGCGGCGGACGGGUGAGUAACACGUGGAUAACCUACCUAUAAGACUGGGAUAACUUCGGGAAACCGGAGCUAAUACCGGAUAAUAUUUUGAACCGCAUGGUUCAAAAGUGAAAGACGGUCUUGCUGUCACUUAUAGAUGGAUCCGCGCUGCAUUAGCUAGUUGGUAAGGUAACGGCUUACCAAGGCAACGAUGCAUAGCCGACCUGAGAGGGUGAUCGGCCACACUGGAACUGACACACGGUCCAGACUCCUACGGGAGGCAGCAGUAGGGAAUCUUCCUCCAUGGGCGAAAGCCUGACGGAUCCACCCCGCGUGAGGGAUGAAGGUCUUCGGAUCGUAAAACUCUGUUAUUAGGGAAGAACAUAUGUGUAAGUAACUGUGCACUUCUUGACGGUACCUAAUCAUAAAGCCUCGGCUAACUUACGUGCCCCCCCCCGCGGUAAUACUUAGGUGGCAAGGCGUAUUCCGGGAAUUUUUGGGCGUAAAGCGCGGCGUAGGCGGUUUUUUAGUCUGAUGUGAAAGCCCACGGCUCAACCGUGGAGGGUCAUUGGAAACUGGAAAACUUGAGUGCAGAAGAGGAAAGUGGAAUUCCAUGUGUAGCGGUGAAAUGCGCAGAGAUAUGGAGGAACACCAGUGGCGAAGGCGACUUUCUGGUCUGUAACUGACGCUGAUGUGCGAAAGCGUGGGGAUCAAACAGGAUUAGAUACCCUGGUAGUCCACGCCGUAAACGAUGAGUGCUAAGUGUUAGGGGGUUUCCGCCCCUUAGUGCUGCAGCUAACGCAUUAAGCACUCCGCCUGGGGAGUACGACCGCAAGGUUGAAACUCAAAGGAAUUGACGGGGACCCGCACAAGCGGUGGAGCAUGUGGUUUAAUUCGAAGCAACGCGAAGAACCUUACCAAAUCUUGACAUCCUUUGACAACUCUAGAGAUAGAGCCUUCCCCUUCGGGGGACAAAGUGACAGGUGGUGCAUGGUUGUCGUCAGCUCGUGUCGUGAGAUGUUGGGUUAAGUCCCGCAACGAGCGCAACCCUUAAGCUUAGUUGCCAUCAUUAAGUUGGGCACUCUAAGUUGACUGCCGGUGACAAACCGGAGGAAGGUGGGGAUGACGUCAAAUCAUCAUGCCCCUUAUGAUUUGGGCUACACACGUGCUACAAUGGACAAUACAAAGGGCAGCGAAACCGCGAGGUCAAGCAAAUCCCAUAAAGUUGUUCUCAGUUCGGAUUGUAGUCUGCAACUCGACUACAUGAAGCUGGAAUCGCUAGUAAUCGUAGAUCAGCAUGCUACGGUGAAUACGUUCCCGGGUCU